UACAGAGGUCUCAACCGUUGUUCGGAUUCAUUGGGCGUAAAGGGUGCGUAGGCGGUCGGGUAAGUCGGAUGUGAAAUCCCGGGGCUUAACCUCGGAAUUGCAUUCAAUACUGCUUCGCUUGAGUACUGGAGAGGAGGCUGGAAUUUACGGUGUAGCAGUGAAAUGCGUAGAUAUCGUAAGGAAGGCCGGUGGCGAAAGCGAGCCUCUGGACAGUUACUGACGCUGAUGCACGAAGGCCAGGGGAGCAAACGGG
rnacentral:rRNA from 1 species